UGUGCUAAGCGGGGAGUUAGUGGUGCCCUGUAUCCGAAACCCACUAUAUGCGGAGCCGAACACUAUUCUAGGUGUCACUGCAUGACACUAAUUCAUUAAGUAUUGAAAUGAUGAUAUCAAGGUCUUAUGCAAUAUUUUGCUACGAACCAUGUCAGGUCAGGAAUGAAGCAGCAUUAAGUAGAUUUAAAGUAUGUGCCAUAAGGUUGCUUUGAAGGAGUG
rnacentral:SRP_RNA from 1 species